rnacentral:other from 1 species
AGGUCCCUGCCAUACGCGUGAGGAGCCGGAAGUUCCGAGCCAACACCUAGGAAGAGGGAGCUCGGCUCUGGACGCGGACAGCAGGCCCUCGAUGAAACCUGUUGGCGAGAGGGAAGCUGGAAACGUCCAGGAGGGCACCCACCUGCGAGAGCAGGUUCGGGGACUGCGGCGAACACGGUAUGGCGGGGAUCUU